rnacentral:lncRNA from 1 species
CUCACGUGCCUUUCCAGGUCCAUGGUGAGAGGAUGGAUUUGAAGAUAGAAGUCAUACAGCUGCAGGAUGUGGAGUGCGAGGAGAGGCCCCAGGGAAGCAGCUCCAACUGAGGGUGGCACUAUUCAAUUUCAGCCCGAACUGCCACUUUGGCCUGCUUCAGCCUCUGGUUCUUUUGGCUGCAGGCCUCUGACACCUUCUUAACGGCCUGCUUCUCAACCUGCAUUAGCUGCUGGAUCCCUUGCAACUGACUGGCCACGACAGUGGUGAUUCUGAGACCAAGGUGAGUGGCCUAAAUCAGUUCAAAGGACCCUGGGGUCAACUGACCCACCCAACCACAGUCUGCACCUGCGCCCUGCCACCUCUCAUUUCUUAAAGUAAGUCAAACACCACACAGCAGAAAUUUUAGAAGGUAUAGCACAAAGUGAGCACAUUAAGUAUUUUUAAAAUCUUUAAAAUAUGUAUUAUAAGUAAUCUUACACAGUGUUACCUAUUCAUAUGUUACAUCUUAACAGAUGUAUUUGGACAAUCAGAUUUCCCUCAGAUUAAAGAUGGUGUUGGUAUUUUUUCAAGAAGUUAUUUUAAAGCUGUUAGGGAAGUUUCUAUAGUGUGGAACAAUUCUUCUUUAUAACGUGAUAUUUUACCUAUGUUAUUAAAAUAUCAAAUCAGAAACUAGAUCAAGCUCUGGAAAACAUUUCAUUUACUUUUAUACUAUUUAUAUCUGAUGCCUACUAUAAAUUAUUUGCUGUGUCUGUGCAGAUACUCUUAACUCAUAAAAAUAGAUAUUUAUGAAUAUACUUUAAAACCUAGAUUACCUUUGUACACUAACAUUUAUUUUAAUAAAAGAAAUUGGUAAGAACAAUAUGUUACAUGUUGGCAAAUCUAAAAGUGCUCAGUUUGACUCUCCAUCAUAACGCUCACAGAAUUUACUCGUGUGCUCACUAGACACAAUUUCUAUAAGGAGAAAGUCUGUUUUAUUCACCAACAUAUAGCCAACACCUGACACAGGAAUACAUGGCACAGAGCAGGUAUUCAAUAAAUAUUUGUCAAUAAUUGAAUAAAUAUUUUCUCCAGCAAGUCAAAAAAAAGUGACCUUAAAUAAAUGGAACCAGAAUAGCAACUGUUUCAUUACACAACAAAAGGAGCUUUUUGCAAACAUUCUAGGAUUACUUAUCGUAAGUAGGUGAAGAGUGCAACAAAAGUAAUUUCCUCCAAAAAUAAAUAAAUUUGCAUUAUGGGAAAAAAAGAAAAACAGUGACACUUUGUUCUACAAGCCUAGUAAGUGAUAUUUACAAUAUAAACUAAUUUUAAACCACCGGAACGCUAAGUAAGGCAAUUCCAAAACUAUUGUUUCACAAAUUUACCACAGAACGCAUUCUCUUUCUGACAAUACUCCUAACCUUAGAUGAAUAUACUUUUUAACAAAGUUACUGAACUCAUAAUAUAAAAUGUCUAAUCAAUUUAUCAUUUUUAUCCUGGAAUCUAUGUUAGAGAGUUUUAGAAAUAGAAGAAACCUAUUAGAUUCAAG